rnacentral:rRNA from 1 species
UACGAAGGGGGCUAGCGUUGCUCGGAAUUACUGGGCGUAAAGCGCACGUAGGCGGCUUUGCAAGUUAGAGGUGAAAGCCCGGGGCUCAACUCCGGAAUUGCCUUUAAAACUGCAUCGCUAGAAUUGUGGAGAGGUAAGUGGAAUUCCGAGUGUAGAGGUGAAAUUCGUAGAUAUUCGGAAGAACACCAGUGGCGAAGGCGACUUACUGGACACAUAUUGACGCUGAGGUGCGAAAGCGUGGGGAGCAAACAGGG